CAGUCGCCACGGUAAAACGGAGGGUGCAAGCGUUAAUCGGAAUUACUGGGCGUAAAGCGCACGCAGGCGGUCUGACAAGUCAGAUGUGAAAUCCCCGGGCUUAACCUGGGAACUGCAUUUGAAACUGUCAGGCUGGAGUCUUGUAGAGGGGGGUGGAAUUCCAGGUGUAGCGGUGAAAUGCGUAGAGAUCUGGAGGAAUACCGGUGGCGAAGGCGGCCCCCUGGACAAAGACUGACGCUCAGGUGCGAAAGCGUGGGGAGCAAACAGGAUUAGAUACCCGGGUAGUCCCUGUCUCUUAUAC
rnacentral:rRNA from 1 species